rnacentral:RNase_P_RNA from 3 species
CCAGUUGGCCGGGCAGCCGCGCUCCGCUAGGGCCGAAAGGCUGCGGGGGGAGGAAAGUCCGGGCUCCACGAAAACACGGUGCCGGAUAACGUCCGGCGGGGGCGACCCUAGGGAAAGUGCCACAGAAAGAAAACCGCCUGCCUUCAUGGCAGGUCAGGGUGAAAGGGUGGGGUAAGAGCCCACCGCGCGCAUGGCAACAUGGGUGGCAAGGCAAACCCCACCGGGAGCAAAACCGAAUAGGGACGAUGUGGAUCGCGCAAGCGCUCCGGCCGGUUUUCAGGCCAGUCGUCCGGGUGGGUUGCAGGAGGCGGCGCGCAAGCGUCGUCCCAGAUGAAUGGCUGCCACGUUCCGGUGUCAAAGCCGGAGCCAUACAGAACCCGGCUUACAGGCCAACUGGCAAA